rnacentral:rRNA from 1 species
UCCUACGGGUGGCUGCAGUGGGGAAUAUUGCACAAUGGGCGAAAGCCUGAUGCAGCGACGCCGCGUGUGGGAUGACGGCCUUCGGGUUGUAAACCACUUUCAGCAGGGAAGAAGCUUUUUGUGACGGUACCUGCAGAAGAAGCGCCGGCUAACUACGUGCCAGCAGCCGCGGUAAUACGUAGGGCGCGAGCGUUAUCCGGAAUUAUUGGGCGUAAAGAGCUCGUAGGCGGUUUGUCGCGUCUGCUGUGAAAGCCCGGGGCUUAACCCCGGGUGUGCAGUGGGUACGGGCAGACUAGAGUGCAGUAGGGGAGACUGGAAUUCCUGGUGUAGCGGUGAAAUGCGCAGAUAUCAGGAGGAACACCGAUGGCGAAGGCAGGUCUCUGGGCUGUUACUGACGCUGAGGAGCGAAAGCAUGGGGAGCGAACAGGAUUAGAUACCCCGGUAGUCU